rnacentral:rRNA from 1 species
UACGGGGGGGGCAAGCGUUGUUCGGAAUUACUGGGCGUAAAGGGCUCGUAGGCGGCCAACUAAGUCCGACGUGAAAUCCCCAGGCUUAACCUGGGAACUGCGUCGGAUACUGGAUGGCUUGAAUCCGGGAGAGGGAUGCGGAAUUCCAGGUGUAGCGGUGAAAUGCGUAGAUAUCUGGAGGAACACCGGUGGCGAAGGCGGCAUCCUGGACCGGCAUUGGCGCUGAGGAGCGAAAGCCAGGGGAGCAAACGGG